CAAAUGUUGAUAGGGCCGGCUCAGAGCUACACAGGAAUUCACGUGGAAAAUUUUAACUUGGCAAGCGUCAAUUUUUGCAUAAAGGUCAUGCCAGCCCUAUUAGAACUGCUUAGAAAGCUGUAUCCAGAUGAUUAUAAAGAGUUUGGCCAUGUUAUUGUGUUUCUCCCUUAUUUAUUCCAUUUUGUUAGUUUUUUCAACGUGUUAUUUUAGGUGUGAAACAUAAUGUUUGUAGACGGCGAAAACUGCGCAAAUGAAUCACGCGAAGAGAACGAAAAGGCUCCCAUUACCGCAAAUGUGGAAGCGUUUUUUUUUUGUAAAAAAAUACAGCACUCCUUUUAGGUCUGUCCAGAGCGAAAGGAUUGGUUGGAUUCCAGAAAGGGGAAAACCUUACGGGAUCAUCUUGCAAUUGUCCCUGUCUGUGAUCACGACGCCGUGACCUACAGGCCUUCAGCUGCCGAAAUGUCUAACUUUCCUGAAUUUAUCAGCAAGGCUUAUAAAAAACAUUUACAUGAAAGUGGGGAUAUUUUGAUCCCCUAAGCCAUGUUUUGAAGCCUUCUUUCCAUCCACUAAAGCAAGAGUAUAAAAAGAAGGCCGAAGGUGUGUACAGAAGUACAAUGAUUGAAAGCAGCAGAGGUGUGACGCUGGGCCAGUUUAUGGCAAAGGGAUAUUUGCCAUCGCUGUUCAAAACAGGAUUCGGCAGUUUGGGGCCAACAAACUCUAAUUGGAAAGGUUUAUUUUUACUUUUCUACGAAGUAGCAAUAGGAAAAGGCUUGGCUCCCAAAAAGCCUUUUCCGGAAUAUUUAGUCGAUAAGGAUGCGACUCUAUUUCCAGAAGGAGAGAA